rnacentral:lncRNA from 1 species
AAGCUGGCUGGGAGCUGGGACGGGGACGCGCAGGGUCCGGUGAGCUCUGGACGCAUCCGAGGGAGUUUCUCGCCGGCCGCUGCCCGCUGCUCCGCACCCGGGGCCGUCCGCGGAGGUCCCGCCCGUCCCCUCCCGCUGCUGGCUCUCUGGCCGCGGAAAGGCCGGACCUGUUGUGGCUUGCACCGGGAUCUGCGCCCUCCUGCCGGAGGCUGGCUCUCGCCUCUCCUCCCUUCCUCGGUUCUGCGCCGCCACCCCUCACCCACGCCGCUGAUUCUCCCUCCCUUUGCACACUCCCGUGGGACAGGGAGAGUUACGGGCUUAAGACUUCAUCUCAUUGUGGAAAGCAAGAGACCAAGCCAAAAACUUUGGUCGUGCUUUUCAACAUCUCUGGUCAAAAGAGCUCAUUGAACAAUGAGGAUAUUUAGCUCCCCUCAGACCUACCCUCAGAGUUGGAUGAGCUAUCCUCGGAGUUGGAUGCCACCACCGGCAGCAGCAAAAGCGAAGGCAACUCAUGAUUCUGCCUCAGAAGCAAUCGAAUAAAACAUUUUGAAAAUGAAUAAAUGGACUUUUAAAUUUUAAUCAUCG